rnacentral:rRNA from 1 species
UACGUAGGGGGCAAGCGUUGUCCGGAAUCGUUGGGCGUAAAGCGCGUGUAGGCGGCCCGGUAAGUCCGCUGUGAAAGUCGGGGGCUCAACCCUCGAAUGCCGGUGGAUACUGUCGGGCUAGAGUGCGGGAGAGGCGAGUGGAAUUCCUGGUGUAGCGGUGAAAUGCGCAGAUAUCAGGAGGAACACCAAUUGCGAAGGCAGCUCGCUGGAACGUAACUGACGCUGAGACGCGAAAGCGUGGGGAGCAAACAGG